UACAGAGGUCCCAAGCGUUGUUCGGAUUCAUUGGGCGUAAAGGGUGCGUAGGCGGCGCGGUAAGUCGGGUGUGAAAUCUCGGGGCUUAACUCCGAAACUGCAUUCGAUACUGCCGUGCUUGAGGACUGGAGAGGAGACUGGAAUUUACGGUGUAGCGGUGAAAUGCGUAGAUAUCGUAAGGAAGACCAGUGGCGAAGGCGGGUCUCUGGACAGUUCCUGACGCUGAGGCACGAAGGCCGGGGGAGCGAACAGG
rnacentral:rRNA from 1 species